UACGUAGGGGGCAAGCGUUGUCCGGAAUUACUGGGCGUAAAGCGCGUGUAGGCGGCAAGGCAAGUCGGGUGUGAAAGCCCUGGGCUCAACCCGGGAAGUGCAUUCGAUACUGCAUUGCUGGAGUAUGGAAGAGGUAGGUGGAACUGCGAGUGUAGAGGUGAAAUUCGUAGAUAUUCGCAAGAACACCAGUGGCGAAGGCGGCCUACUGGUCCAUCACUGACGCUGAGAUGCGAAAGCGUGGGGAGCAAACAGG
rnacentral:rRNA from 1 species